rnacentral:tRNA from 1 species
UGGCUUAGUUGGUUAAAGCACCGGACUAGCGAUACGGAGUCGUGAGUUCGAUUCCCAC